CUGGCAAGCUUAAACAAUUCCUCUCGUUGUUUUAUGAGAUCCUGGCUCCUGAGCGUGAUCAUCAAUGGUCUACUAAAACAGGGAUUAGAGGCUAUUUGAUCCAACUUUGGGAUUAACCAUUUUGCACAUCAUUUUUCAAACGUUUUAAUGGGGUUGGGGUUCCCUUCCCUACAGUAAAAGGAAAAGGGUAUCAGGUACCUUCUCUAACAUCACCGCUGUUGGUUGAGCCGAGUUCCAAAUAAAAACAUCUAGAAAGGUUAUGCAUGAAGGAGAAAGAGGGAUUCAACUGAAAAUUCCUUUGCAGAAAAAGUUGGCUGAGAUUAGAGAAUACUCUGAUACCCUGCUUGUUGAUCAUACCACGAGGAUCCUGCAAUUACAUGUAAGCCUCGAUACGACUCGGUUAACUCUAAUGUUCUUUCGUAAGAUCUUUCUCAUUUCAAAUGUACCCCAUAGCGGAUGCUGAGAAAACUAUGCACCCAAAGCUUAUCACCUCAGAUACUGGGCAACAAAUCAGGGAACUGAACUGCAAGGCCGAGAAAGAAAAGGACAAAAAGCGGGCUGAAGUGAAGAAGCACCAAAAAUUUAAGGUGGGUCAGGUGCUGUUUGUAUUUGAUGAUAAGAUAUCCAUAGUGCAGAGAAGAAUCCAGAAUGCAUGCACAAAUAGACAUAUGAGAAAACCUGAUUCCAUGGCCGUGUUUCAUCUGUUUCAUCAAAGAUCUGAUUACAGGAGAAUUUUGGAUGUCUUAGCUUAAUUCAUAUGCAAGAGAUCAGCUGGAUAAUUACAUUAGAAGGUUCUAUAUGCGAAUAAUAAAGAUUUAAAUUGUAAGGUUUGGAUCAAUCUUUUUCAGUUCGUUAAGAAUUUUUCGGUUAGAAUAAUAUCCGAAAAGUUAAAUUACUUUUUUAGACCUGAA